rnacentral:rRNA from 1 species
AUUGAACGCUGGCGGCAGGCCUAACACAUGCAAGUCGAGCGGGGUUUUCGGACCUAGCGGCGGACGGGUGAGUAAUGCGUAGGAAGCUACCCGAUAGAGGGGGAUACCAGUUGGAAACGACUGUUAAUACCGCAUAAUGUCUACGGACCAAAGUGUGGGACCUUCGGGCCACAUGCUAUCGGAUGCGCCUACGUGGGAUUAGCUAGUUGGUGAGGUAAUGGCUCACCAAGGCGACGAUCUCUAGCUGGUUUGAGAGGAUGAUCAGCCACACUGGAACUGAGGCACGGUCCAGACUCCUACGGGAGGCAGCAGUGGGGAAUAUUGGACAAUGGGCGCAAGCCUGAUCCAGCCAUGCGGCGUGUGUGAAGAAGGCCUUCGGGUUGUAAAGCACUUUCAGCGAGGAGGAAGGGUUGUGUGUUAGUAGUACACAGCCUUGACGUUACUCGCAGAAGAAGCACCGGCUAACUCUGUGCCAGCAGCCGCCGUAAGAC